UGCUCUAACCAUUAUUCGACAUGUAUUUGCUAAGAAAUCCCUCAGAAAAACGCCUGCCCUGCCUGUUUUAAUAGCGUCUCUCUUUUUUUUUUAAUCACUUUACAAGGCAGUAGUAGUUUACAAUAUUUCAUCUUUCCCAUCAAAUGCUAACGUAUUGGGGUUUCCGAGAGGCCUUAACCCAGUAGAGUCUCGAAGGAUCUCAGAACUAUAGUUGUCUCAAUCUUUAUAUAUGUAUAUAUAUACAAGAGGGUUUCCGAGUUCUAAACGUAUUGGAUCUCAUAACACUAGUGUUUCGACUGAUAUAAAAUAACAAUCUGAGCUGCCAACACAGAACCAAAUUCUGUUUAGCUAGAACAUGGAUUCAGAUUGGGCAGGGUUAUCCAGGGACCUGGUUGAUUUGAUAUUAGCAAAACUGAUUUCGGUGUCUGAUUAUUUGCGAUUUGGAGCGGUAUGCAAAACGUGGCACAGUGUUGCAAUGGACAGAAUCAACAACUUCUGCCUCCACAACUUUCAAUGCUCCUUCUCCCUACCCAUGUCUUCCAAUGCUUCUUGUCCUUAGAGAUGUCCAAGUAUCAGAUUCGACAAACAUUAUGUUGUAGAGUCAACUGCAGAGAACUAUUGAUGGUUUGAAGGUUAAUGGAGCAGCAUGAAGGAUUAUGGGUGUCAAGCUCUGGAAACUAAACAACUGUUGCACGGGAUAGGAAUGGAUGGAGAUGAAAAUCAUAGGAGAUUGUGCUUUUCAAUCAUCAUUAAAUUAGUCAAUAAAACCUUCAUUUGAAGAUUGCAUGAACCUAAUCGAUUGCAGCAUUCAUGUCACAAACUAGGAGUUGCCUUAG